AAAAAGAAAAAACUUAUAUUAGAUGUAGCUAAAAUGAUUUUUAAUAAGAUCCCUAGAGCAAGUGGCAAGAGACUUGGUGAUUGAUAUCCGAGACCCAAGUUCGAAUCCUAGUUGAUUCACAUUUCUAGUUAAGUUUAUUUCUAAAUGAAAUAAAUGAAGCCAGUAGUGUGCUACCUAUCUCUCGGAAGAAGGAAAAAAAAAAAGAUGAGUUAAUGAUGUCACUACAAUAGAAUUAGGUUAUAGGAAUACAUGUUUGGGACACUUUUGAGUAAGUGUCCCAUUUAUGCUAAAACUUAAAAACACAUCUACUAAUGCCUAAAUAUAAAGCCCAAUUCAACCAAAAAUAAAAGAUUACUCUACUCAACCCACCACACCCAGUCCAUUUGGCCCGAUUACAAACAGAAAAGAAAAAAAAAAAAGAAAAAUCAAUUACCAUCUUUUCUUCUCUCUUCACUCAAUCCACUGAAAUUCUAGACGAAGAGCCUUUCCUGUCUUCCUCGUCCGCCACCGCAGCCAACGAGAUAGAGUUUCGGCGGUUGCUAAAUGCUUAAAUAAGUAUUCGUAAAUUAACAGCACUCUUUUAGGUUAUAGCGACACUCUUUAACUGUCACUAUAUACCUAGCGACCCCAUAUAUAGCAACACUUUUUAAAAGUGUCGGUAAUUUUAGCUAGAAGCACUUUUUUGACAUGUACCUAUAUUUAAAAGUGUCGCUAUAGACCGUUUUUAUUGUAGUGUGUAUCAAUUUUUGCUCCUAACUUAAU
rnacentral:lncRNA from 1 species